CCUACGGGCGGCAGCAGUGAGGAAUAUUGGUCAAUGGACGAGAGUCUGAACCAGCCAAGUAGCGUGAAGGAUGACUGCCCUAUGGGUUGUAAACUUCUUUUAUAUGGGAAUAAAAUGUUCCACGUGUGGGAUUUUGUAUGUACCAUAUGAAUAAGGAUCGGCUAACUCCGUGCCAGCAGCCUCGGUAAUACGGAGGAUCCGAGCGUUAUCCGGGUUUAUUGGGUUUAAAGGGAGCGUAGGUGGAUUGUUAAGUCAGUUGUGAAAGUUUGCGGCUCAACCGUAAAAUUGCAGUUGAAACUGGCAGUCGUGAGUACAGUAGAGGUGGGCGGAAUUCGUGGUGUAGCGGUGAAAUGCUUAGAUAUCACGAAGAACUCCGAUUGCGAAGGCAGCUCACUGGACUGCAACUGACACUGAGGCUCGAAAGUGUGGGUAUCAAACAGGAUUAGAUACCCUAGUAGUC
rnacentral:rRNA from 1 species